AUUGAACGCUGGCGGCAGGCCUAACACAUGCAAGUCGAACGGUAACAGGAAACAGCUUGCUGUUUCGCUGACGAGUGGCGGACGGGUGAGUAAUGUCUGGGAAACUGCCUGAUGGAGGGGGAUAACUACUGGAAACGGUAGCUAAUACCGCAUAACGUCGCAAGACCAAAGAGGGGGACCUUCGGGCCUCUUGCCAUCAGAUGUGCCCAGAUGGGAUUAGCUAGUAGGUGGGGUAAUGGCUCACCUAGGCGACGAUCCCUAGCUGGUCUGAGAGGAUGACCAGCCACACUGGAACUGAGACAUGGUCCAGACUCCUACGGGAGGCAGCAGUGGGGAAUAUUGCACAAUGGGCGCAAGCCUGAUGCAGCCAUGCCGCGUGUAUGAAGAAGGCCUUCGGGUUGUAAAGUACUUUCAGCGGGGAGGAAGGUGUUGUGGUUAAUAACCGCAGCAAUUGACGUUACCCGCAGAAGAAGCACCGGCUAACUCCGUGCCAGCAGCCGCAGUAA
rnacentral:rRNA from 1 species